UUAAACUACACUUAGCAAAUACUUAAAAUAAUCAGACUCCAAAAUGUAAAACUAUGGAGGUAACUAAAUCCACACACUUAAUAACAACGAAUAUAUAAUCUUCAUAGACAGUAGCCAACAUAAUUGGUAAAACCAUUCGGUCCCAUGAAAUUUAAACCGUAAAGAAAAUUCUCAAAAGUUGAUAGAUAACAAAAUUAUCGAAAGAUGAAACAAAAAUCCUUGUGCCUACAAAUAAGCUGUGAAUUCUACUGAGCGACUUCUCACCUGUAUCUGCAAUAAAGAAAUCAAUGUAAAAUAAGGAGAAUGUAAUAUACAUUAAUAAAACACAAGCAGGCAAGUAGUACUAAUUAAAUCAAUUUCAUGAACAAAUGGAAACCAGACAUCCACAAGCAUAUGAACACACGGAUAACUUUUAAGAGGAUUCAUCUUCUAUUUUCAUAAUCAAAUAAUAAUAAUAGAAAAUUAAUGAUACCAUAAGCCAGACAACUUACUUAAAUUACAUAAAACAUCACUAUAAAAACAAAGAAUAGAGACUUCUACAAAGCUAUGUAAAUAAAGCAAUUCAUAACCUUUUGAUAGCAUUCUAAACAAUAGACCUUGUCUCACGCAAAUCCUUGUAGAUUAAUGCACCAUAAAAUGCGCAGAUAUACAAAACCACAAAUGUAUAUUACAUUUACCAUUUUGUAUUGCAAUAUAGGUUAUUCUUUUUUCUAUCAUGUGAAUAUAAAUAUUGGUAUGUGACUCUUUAUAUUAUACAAGCAACUUACAAGAGAGUAAAUCUGAAAGGAAAAACAGAACAAGUCAAGCAUCGAUGUACAACAAAUCCAUAAUUAAUAUCUAUGUCAAAAACCACAUCUGAGAGGUGAAGUCCACACAAUGACAUAAGCCAGGAAAUAUAACAGGAAUGUUUCCAAAUAUGAAGCAAAAAGACAAAUGACAACCUAAUUACCUCAGAUGUUACUUGGGUACAUGAACACUCUAACCCGUGCUCCCUGUAAUGCAUCAGAACUCAAAAACAUCAGAUACCAAUAAAAAAAACGAAUUGAUAAAGCAGUGCUUUCAAAUAUUUACCAUUGAUCUGGGAGGAAGGUUUGACUUGAAUUUAGCACGAACAACACCACUGUUACCAUGAGGCCUUGUAACCUUACCCCAAAUGCAACGGUAGUGGCUUCCAUUCUUCUUCACCUUAGCCUUGUAAAUAUAGGCCAUUCUCUUGCCAGCAUACCAUCCUACUUCUUCUUUGGUGUUCACUCCCUCGAUUUGGAUCAGGGAUGUGUUGGGAUACUGGUUUGACUUGGACCUGAAAGAUGUUUCCCAGUGUAAGGCAACUAACAAGGCAAUGGAGAAGCAAGAUAAAAAUAAAACCAACAAGGAAAGAAGCAUUCACCUUUUGUAUCCAAGGAUUGUACCCCUCACAUAGAGUCUAAAGCAAAAGGAAAAAAGGAGUGUUAUGUUAAUUUCAACAAGUUAUGCAGUCAUUGAGGAAUUGUUUAAUAGGAAAAUAAAUAUAUACAGCAGCGAACAAAAUAUGAAUCAAUACAAGAACAAAAACCAGUAUUCAAAUCAUUUUAUCUUGCUCCCUGAAAAAAAUAACCAACCGGUCACUAAAUUAAUGUUAACAUAUCAUAUAUAUUUCUGUGACUAUCCACAAAACCAGUUAAAUCUGUAACAGCGACUACAUUCCAAUUCUAACAACCAUCAAUAAACCAAAACCCUUCAACUUCCAAGAACCCUAGUGGGUAAAAUAACAAAUCAACAAUGCAGACCAUGAAGUAAAAGAGGGCACGUUCGGUCUUUAAAACAGAAUAAACGAGUCAGUUUUAAGGAAUAAGGAAUCGAAUGUAAAAAAGUUAUGAUUGGUGCUUCAAAAGAAAAAAAGGCAAGUGUUGAAGACAGAGCGCAAAAUUUAGCAAUGGGCGAAAUCUAUAGGUCGUGGAAAUGAAAGAAGGAAUACCUGACGCGCUCUCCUUGGCGUCCCUUCACCAUCUUCGUUGCUAGCUGCAGCUGACACACGACACAAACAGCGACACUGCGGCGUAACCCUAAAAUUCUCAGAAUUGGGUUUUUAGGGUUUUUAUAAGAAGUUCGCAAGAAACUCUGCUGAAUCGGGUUUUGAAUUAGGCCCAAUAGAAAAUGUUUAUAGGCCUUGCUGCUUCUGGCCCGUAUUAACUGUUUGAUUUGUUAAGGACAAAAAAAUACAUUUAUAUAUGAACUAUGAAACAUACAAAGAAGUCGUUGGUACGUAAAAAGAUUUCCAUAUACUUGAAUGAAAAUAUAUUUUAUUAAAAGUAACAAAAGUCUGGGAGAUUAAAUGGUAAAACGUUCAAUAUCAUCAACGAAAAUUGAAUAUUUUUUUUUUAUAACAACAGCUGAAAACACAUGCACUAUUAUAUGUAUUCACUUUUUUUAUUAAAAUGGUUAAAUUUUUAAAAGAAUAAUCUCUUAAAAAGUAAAAUUUAUAAACAAUUACUUAUUAAAGAGCAAAAUGUGACCACAAAAUUAAAUCUUUUUAUAGAACAAAAUGUUGAGAUCAAAAAUAUAGAAAAGGGAAGGAAGGAGAGAGAAAAAGAAAGAAGAGAUAAGACAUUUUUUUUAUAAUUUAAUAAGAGGAAAAAGAUUGUAUUUAAUGGGUCAUAAAAUUAAUUUUUGUUAAUGAGCAAUCUUUUAUCUCUAGUUUCACAAAAAUGCUAGAAUUUAUAUUAAAAUCUUGCUAUUUUUAUGUUUAUAUGAACUAAAAACGUUUGAGAACUAUGUUUCUCUUAAUAUAUUUAUCGUUAACAUUUAAUUUUAUCUAUUUUAUAUAUAAUUAAGUUUGUCAUUUUUCACAAAUAAAUAAUUUAAACUAACAUUGUAUCUUUUUUCUAGAAUAACAAAAGAAAAUUGUUUUAAAAUCAGAUUUUUUUUUUUUUAAAUAAAAAGUGCUGAUUGUAAGAGCAUGAAUAAAUAACAAGCACUAUUGGGCCCUAAUUGAAGGCAGCCAGACCCAUCAGACUAGGGGCUCAUGACCUUAGCAAGGGUCUUUCUCCAAAAAGUCAUAUUCUUCAUUCGCAACUUUUCCCUUCUCUCUCUAAAAAAAAGAAACCAUUCUCUCUAAAUAUUGCUCUGCCUUCCCUCUAAGGAAUCAACACACUAAAUUGUUUAAUUUUUAGUUUGAAGGUGCCUAAGCGUUCACAGCAGUAAGGGCUUCGCAGUGAACCAAAUAAUUUCUCUGUACCAUUCUAGUAAGUGGUUCUUCUGUUUCUCCGCCAUUUUGAUACUUAGGGUUUGGGGGUUCUACUAAUUUUAUGCAGUUAGAACUGUUCUUUUUCUAAUUCCGGUUAAGUCAUAACUCUAAGAGUUACUUUCUACCGCCUAUACGGAGGUAUAUAGGUAUUGUUGCGUUCUGUCCGGGGGUGAGACUCCCUUAGGGCAUUUUCAAAUUAUCUGCUCUUUGAGAAACCUAGGUAAGGGGAGCUAAUUAUUUUCCUUUGAAUGAAAUGUUUGAAUCUGCUUGAUAAAUGUAUGUAUGUUAUACUCUAGAUUGUUAUACUGCUUUGGACUGUAUUUUUGGAUUUUAAGUUGAUUUAACGGAUGAACUGAAAUGUGCAAAUUAGUGAAAUUGGAAUGUGGUAUUUAUGAACGUGACUGGUGUGGAAUUAGCUGCUGUAAAUUUAAUGUAUGGGAAGUAGAUAGGAACAUGCAGGAGAAAUAUAUUUUUAUUAAGGGUAGAAACUCAUGAAAAUAGGUAGAAGAAGAUGGAAGGGAAAAGUAAUGGGUGUUAUAUUUAUCGUUGGACGCAAAGAGGAAUGUUUUCACUACUUUUGGGAUUGGAGCUUUAGAAAAAGAAAGAUGAAAGUCUAUGUCUAAAUGCUGCAGUGGUGAAAUUAAAAUGAAGAAAAAGAGAAUGGAGAGAGGCUUGGAAUGGCUUGGGGUUCUUUCUGUUACAGGAUAAAUGGCUACGUGAGAAUGAGUUCUAGUAGUAGUUAUAGAAGUAAUAAAACAAGGUGGAGUGAUGAACAUUAAUAUAUAUAUAUAUAUAUAUAUAUAUAUAUAUAUAUAUAUAUAUAUAUAUAUAUAUAUAUAUAUAUAUAUAUAUAUUUGUGUGUGUGAGUGUGCGCGCGCGUGCGCGUUGUGAGAAAGGAAGAAGAGUAGGGGUUCUGCCUGAGAGUGGAAAGCAUUGUUUUUAGAAGAAAAGAAAGAAGACAACGAGCAUGUUGAUGUGGUGAAAGAGUUUCAUAUUUUAUUUAUAUAUAUACAUAUAUUGGGUGUGGGGUACACAACAUAUAUAACAUGUUCAGAGGAGAGUUCUUGGGGGCUUUCACGUAAAGCUAGAAAUAAAGAAAAGAAAAGGUUUAAUACCUAUUUUGGUCCCUCUUUUGGUAGGUUCUAUUCAAAGUGGUCUUCCCUUUUUUAAAAAGUUCACUAAAGUCUUACUUUUCGCAAAAACGGUGCACAUUAGUCCUUUUUGCUUACGACGUUAAUUUUGCUAACGGCAAAGCUGCCCAGUUGACAAAUAUUUGAUGACUUGUAACGUUUUGGCUGUGCUAGCACUAUGACUUCAUUAGAUGUGUAAAAAAAAUAAUUAAUUGUGACGUGGAAUUUAAGAAAGUUAGGGUUGAAAUAAAAUUUGAAUUUGGGGUAAUUAAUUCUAACUAUCCCUAAUUACUCCCAAAUUGGGAAUUUCCAUUCUCAGAAAUCAAAAGUUGGGGAAUUCUAUGACACGUGCAGAGGUAGUGGCCUCUUUGUGGCUAGAGCGAUGGUGUUGCGCAGGCGCACUUCUUCCUUCCAUUUUCACGUGUUGGUUCGACUUGCAGGGAAUCCUUCUUCUUCCUCUUGUUUAUGUUGUUUUCUAAUGCAAAGGGGAUGUGAGACAGUGGCAACAAAGAUGGCGAUGGCAUUAACACGAUGGUUGGCGAGGACAACGAUGACUUCGUGACUAGGGUUUCGAUUAGGGUUUUGGAAUUCAUUUUUUCCUUUGUUUUUUGCGAUUGUGGUUCUUGAUGGUCACAAAUUGGGAACUUAGGGGUUUGAUUUUAGGGUUUUUGAAAUUGGAAAUUUUUCCUUUGGGGUUUUUAUUCUUGAUUUUUCUGGUGUUGCGACUGGAGGGGUUGGGAUUUUCAUUUUUAGAUUGGAUUUUUGUGGUGGUUUCUACAACAGCUGGCAUGGCCAUGAGGGUGGCGGCACAAGGAAGGAGAAAAGUUUCUACAUUUGAUUUUUGAGAAUGGAAAUUCCCAAUUUGGGAGUAAUUAGGGAUAGUCAAAAUUAAUUACCCCAAAUUCAAAUUUUAUUUCAACCCUAACUUUCUUAAAUUCCAUGUCACAAUUAAUUAUUUUUUUUUUACACAUCUAAUGAAGUCACAGUGCCAGCACAGCUAAAACGUUACAAGUCAUCAAGUAUUUGCCAACUGGGCAGCUCUACCGUUAGCAAAAUUAACGCCGUAAGCAAAAAGGACUAACAUGCACCGUUUUUGUGAAAAGUAGGACUUUAGUGAACUUUUUAAAAAUGGGAGGACCACUUUGAACAACCCUACCAAAAGAAGGACCAAAAUAGGUAUUAAACCAAAGGAAAACUAGUUUUGUUGCUUGACCUUGAAUCUUUUUAUAGCACUAGAAGAUAAUGGGGUGGGUUCCACUUCAUAAUUCUUAAAGGGAUAUUUCUUUGAAAUAUAGGUAUGUGUGACCUCGAACUCCAAAGGCUAUAGAAUUCUUUAUUCCCUUUAUUUUUACUGAACUUCUUGGAAAGAGGUAGGUAAGUUUAAUAGGUGGGGUCCAUUUAUUUUAAGUUUAAAAGGAAAUGAAGCAAAAUGAUUGAAAAGGCAAGUUAAGUUUUAUUUCUUAGUAUAAAAUGAAAAGAUAUAAAGGCUAUACGUUGCAGUAGAAAAAGUUUGGUAUAAUAAUAUAAGUUUAAACCAUUUAGGCGUCCCUAUUUUUGUUAGGUAUUCCCAAUUUGGUCCCCUUCUUUUAAAGUUUCCCAAUUGAGUCCUUAUAAGUGCUAAUUUGAAACAAUUUAGCCUCUGCCGUUAAAAAUCGUUAACGGUGUUAAAAUUAUGCACAUAUGGUUGUCUGACGUGAUAAAUGUUUUAGUUAAAGGUGAAACGUGGCACUGUUGAGAGGGAAACAUGGCAAUGUUAAAACCUGUUGAGUAUUAUUGGUCUUUAUAGGGUCAUUCGGUCAAUCUUUUUCCAAAUACCAAUAUCACAGUCAGUUCUUUCCUUAAUACUUUUAGGUACCUAAAUAUUCGUACUCCCUUGAUGAAGAGGGUAUUUGCAAACAUGCCUUUGAGUUGAUUUUUGCAUUUGAUGAAGUCAUCUCUUUGGGGCACAAGGAAAAUGUGAUUGUUGCACAAGUUAAGCAAUACUAUGAGAUGGAGAGUCAUGAAGAGAAGUUGCUCAAGUUGGUUUUGCAGAGCAAGAUUAGUGAAACUAAGGAUGUCAUGAAGAGAAAAGCUAGUGAGAUUGAUAAAAGCAAGGUAUGAUUGAAGGAUCUAUGUUUCAUUAUGAUGCUUAUAUUUAAAGCCUGGGAUUGUAUAUUGUUUAUUAAGUCACGUGUUCUACAGAUUGAAAAGAACAGAGGUGAUAAAGGAGGAUUUGGUCCAUUGCAGUCAAUGGGCUCCGGUAGAAUUGAAAAUAGCUUUAGUGAUUUAAGUAUAUCAAAGUGGAACUGGUUUUGGAAGCGGCUCUGGUUUUGGAUUGACUAUUAAUCACAAUUAAUUUUAAUCUAAUUAUAUAAAAUUUAGAAAAUGAAAAAAGGAAUUAGGGUUCAGUUCAAUAAAAAAAUAUUGGGAUUCAAUUACAAUAGAAAUCUGAAUCCUAAUUUUUGUCGUUGUUGCGGAUCUUCACCUUUCUACACUCCCUGUGUUCCCAAUUUUAAAAAUCUACCUCUGCGUUUUCCUUCGGAUCAAAUUUUGAUCUCUCCGCUUGUUUUCGCGCAAUGUCGUUGCCCUGAAUCUGACACCAAAUUAGAGUCCACGAGAUUUCACAAAGUAACGACGACCACAUCGCGAGAAAAAAACCUUUAUUUCUUCGAAUGGGGUUGGUGCCAUCAAUGUCGCGCAAGAGUGGCACAUUCUCUCCGGAGAUGGCAGAGUUGUUACCAAUAAGGAGCAUUGGUAAAACUUGAAGAAUUGUUUUGAUGAUGCUGCAAGAAGUAUUAUCUAAAGAGAACAUUAGAUUUAUUUAAAAAGAAACUUGUAGAAUUUGGAUGUAGUAGGAAAAUCUUAAACCUUGUAUUUUUAACUUGAAUAAUCGAUUAUGGAUAAGCUAUAAUCGAUUAUCACUUGCAUUUUGUACUAGAAUAAUCGAUUAUCAUGAAGCAAUAAUCGAUUAUCACAAGUCAUUCAGGAAUAAUCGAUUAUCACUUCAUAUAAUCGAUUAUCACAUUUUGAAAAACCUGUAACGGACUUGAAUAAUCGAUUAUCACUUACAAUAAUCGAUUGUCAGUGGCAGUUGGGACUUGACCUUUCAUAUUCAGACUAGCUGCCUAUAUAUGGAUGCUUAGAGAACUUCAGAAAUUGAACGUUGUGAACUUAGGUCUUUUGUAGAAUACAGUUUGUCUGAGGAAGUUCUCAAAAGCUAGUUUUGUUCCCUUGCCUGGUCUCGUGAAUAGGAGAAGCUUGCGUUUCGUGUGUCGAUAGUCGGAGCGGUUCUCUUCGAGUUGGCAAGGUGCUCUGCCUGGUCUCGUGAAUAGGAGAAGCUCACGUUUCCUGUGUCGAAAGUCGGAGCGGUUCUCUUCGAGUUGGCAGAGUGUUUGCUUCCGGUUCGUGUGUCGAAGGAAGCACUUCCAAUUCGUUUGUCGAAGGAAGUUACUCAUUACACUCUUCCGGUUCGUUUGUCGAAGGAAGGUGUUUUCUAUCCCCUACUCAUUUCAUUAUUUUGUAAUCUGUACAACUAUAUUUUUAGUGAAAAUCGUUAAUCACUUUUUAUAGUGAUUAACAACUGGAUGUAGAAUCUUUUGAUUCGAACCAGUAUAAAUAUCAUUUGUGUGAUUUUUCUAUUCCCCACACUCCUUAAUCUUUUAGCACUCCAACUGUUCGAUAAAAGUUUUACAAGAAAUUUAAAACUGAUAAAGGAACUUAUUUUUGUGACCGAACACGCUUUCCGCUCUCUGAGUUUUAAUUCCUCUGCGUUAUACUCUUCGAACCAUACCCCUCCGAUACCAACAGGAGUAUUUGAUCAGGACUUUAGUCGGUAACCAACCCUUCCCUCUCUCGUCAGAGUUCUGGCGGAAAUUGUUGGAGCUUCCUCUCAAUGUCCAAUGGUCGGCUCACUAGUGGUUGAAUCCUAAUUUUGCGUUGAUUUUCGGAGUUGAGGUUGAUCGAGGGAAUGAGGAUUGUUGGGCUCACUGCUGGAAUAGCAUCUGGGAAGAGCACCGUUUCAAAUUUGUUUGAGUCACAUGGUGUUCCCGUUGUUGAUGCUGAUGUCGUUGCUCGUGUAAGUUCCUCUUCUCUGUUUUUGAUUUGGGAAAAACAAUACAAUGAUCUGUGAUUGUUUAUUGGAAUUCGCAGGUGUUAAGGAAAGGGAGUGGUGGAUGGAAGAAAGUGGUUGCGGCUUUCGGGGAUGUCGUGAUUAACAGUUUUUAACAUUGCCACGUUUCCCUCUCAACAGUGUCACGUUUCACCUUCAACUAAAACAUUUAACAUGUCAGACAAUCAUCUGUGCAUAAUUUUAACACCAUUAAUGAUUUUUAACGACAGGGACUAAAUUGUUCAAAUUAGCACUUAUAAGGACUCAAUUGGAAAACUUUAAAAGAAGGGAACCAAAUUGGGAAUACCUAAUAAAAAUAGAGACACCCAAAUGAUUUAAACCAAUAAUAUAUUAUAGUUUAUGUAUAUUAGGAUGGAGUUCACAUCUUUAAUUCCAUGAAAAAUAAAAUACAUGUGUAGAGGGAAUGCGAGAAAAAUGAAGAAAUUGUGGAAUGUGAUGCAGGGGUGGUUUAGUAUAUGGAAGUAGUUGGUGUUAGGAAAUUUAUGUUAAAGGGUUUAUAUAAUAUAUUAAUAUAGUACGUAUUUUUAUAAAGAAAGUAUGAUAAUAUAUUAAAUUAAUAUAUUAUAUAUUGAAGAAGGAGGAAGUCACGUAUUGUAUUAUAUAUAUAUAUAUAUAUAUAUAUAUAUAUAUAUAUAUAUAUAUAUAUAUAUAUAUAUAUAUAUAUAUAUAUAUAUAUAUAUAUAUAUAUCAUCUUGGUCAUGUUUAGUGAUACGGAUGGUAAGUCAUAGGAGGUUAGUAUAUUCUAGAUGUUUUGGGAGUUUAAAUUAUUAAACUGAAUAAUUUUAUUGUUAUUUAAAGGUUUUAAGAUGGAUGAUUUUAUGUAUAUAUUCGGUAAUAAUGAUUAUGAAAAGUAAUAAGACUUGUGUUAUAUAUUUUGUGACCGAUAAGAAAUAUAUAUUGUUGAGAUUAUGUAUGUGUUGAUUGUGGCAAAAAGUAUAUGAUUACAAAGUGAUGAAAGUACGAUCCAAGUAAUAAAUCAAAUUCUAUCUGUGUAGAAUCUUUUGGUGAGAUUCUUAGUGUUUUAGAAUGAAAGUAGGAGCUCAGUCUUAGGGUUCUUCCUGAUGCUCCAAUGGCCUUUCUUCUCACGUAGAGAGGAUUGGACCAUGUGGUGAGGAGUAGCAGAGGUCUUAGUCUUGGAGGCUCCCAGUAUUCUCCAAGGCGUGGAACAGGCUAACCUCGUGAGUGUGGCAGGGUGGGGAACCCAAGUUUCAUAAGCCACCACGGGUGAUGACCCGCCAUAGCUCGACUCUCAUUCUAAAGUCCGAACGAGUCAAGUCUAGUAUUCAACAUGUUAGGAUGUAUGCCUUAAUCCGUUUUAAUUAAAGUUAACUCUUGACUAUUCUAUGCUUCAUACAUUGUAUGCUUUUAUAUAUAAUUAGCUCACCCUUGCAUUGUUUGUUUGUUGUGUUGUGCCAUGUUGUGUGUGCUUUCCUGUUGCAAUGAUCAUCCACUUGGAUGUGAGCAGAAGAGAAUGAGGUUUCACUGGAGCAUGUCUUGGAGGAGAAUGAAGAUGUUGCUGCCUAGACCCACAGGGCUUUCUUAGUUCUUUUAUGUUCUUUUGAAAACACUUUCAGCUUAAGUUAUUUUGAUAUACUCUCUAACACUUAAAUUUUAAAUUUUCAGCUAUUUCCAGGAUGACUGUAAUUCUAAAUACCUUAAAUACAUCUUUAACUGCUUUCCUUUAUUAUAAUGUAUGACAUCUAAAUUUUAUAUACAUGUCGUAUAUUAUUGGGAUGUCACGUUGAUUUCUUUAAAAAAAUUAGUUAAAAAAGUUUUCUCAUAAAACUAUUUUAAAGUAAUUUUUUUCACCACUUAUUUUAUUAAAGUUUUGCCUCUCUUAAAACAAUAAUAAUAAUAAUAAAAGAAGUUAUGUUACAUUUUUUAAUAAUAAUUUUAUUAUUUCUUUGUUAUCUUUUUCUUCAUGUUCUCCUUAUUACAUUAUAUUUAUAUUAUGUCUGCUUCCACCUAUUUAUUGUACUUACGAAUGAAAAAACAUGGUUUACUUGUGUUUAUUUUCAUCAUGUGUAAGUGAUUUUGUGUUCGUUGAGGUGAGAAUAUAAGGGGAGAAACAAUACAACAAAUGUGAAAUUAUACAAUUGCCCUUCCUUUUUCACACUACCGGACAGACACAGUGAAGUUCUAGAAUUGCCCUCCGUUUUAGUUUUGGGCUUUUUGCUUUUCGCUACACUUGUUUCACUUUCCAUACCCCCAACCCUUCUACUAUUUGGCACCCCUUUUUUCAUAAAUUAACUUUAAACAACUACAUUUUAAUUUGAAAUAAUUUCAUGAAUUCCAUUUUGUUGGUUUUAUUAUCACUUAACAGUUUGUUGCUUCUCUAUUGCUUCCAUUUGGGACAGAAACCGGAGAAGACAAUAUUGUCCAUGUUGGUGUGCUUGCAGUUAUGAUUUUCAAUGGUUUUGUUGUAUGGAUUUUAUUUAUUGAAUGCAGGUAGCGGAUGUUGUUAUUUGAUGAUAAAAGAUGAAGAAAUAUAACAUUUGUGGUUUAAUAAUUUAUUUAUAGUUUUAUAUGUUCUUCAAUUGUAAGGAUUUUUUAAUUUUUGUUUAUUUGUAUCCAAUGAACAAGAAGCAACGAAAUUGGUUGUGGUUUGAGUGAAAGCGAACAUUGCUUUUGAUGGUUUGUUUGUUUGUGGGACACAUCUUGCAUAUUUUGAAAAACUUAUUCCAAAACACUUGUUUCAAAAAAUAGUGUACUCAUUCUAGAAAUAUUGUUCUAAAAAUCUUUUUCUCAAAAUCUCAUUCCAAAAAUCUCGUUUAUAAAUCAAGUUCUAUAAAUUCUAAAAAGUUUGUCUGGAAAUUUUCCAAAAUCAUUUUAAAAAUUAUGAGGUGUGCCACAAAUUUAUAGGGUUGCAAGAAGAAGAGGUCUUCGUCUGUUACCCUCAGCAUUUGCUGAAACAUUUCAUUUAUUUCUUAAACGCAUUUCAUUUGUUUAUUAAUUAAUAACAAUAAUAAAGCAAAAUUUAUCUGUUAAUGACACCUUAGACUUUUAUGUUGACUUUGAAUUGGGUAAGUUAGAAAGAUAUUUCAUUUAGUUGAAGAAUUUAAAAAAAUUAUAUUAAAAUUAAUUGUUUGGAUAAAAGAAUUAAAAAAAUGAAAUUGAAAUUUAUUUUUUGGAAGAUAUUUCAAAUGAAUAAAAUAGAAGAUUUUCAAAUAUCCUAGAAAAUAUAAGAAUUUUAAAAAUUCAUUCCUCUCACACUACUAAUGAAGGUCGAGUUAAGUCACUUAAGCAAAAGAUACAGUCAAAUCAACUUGAAUUGAAGAUCGAGUCGUGUAAAACUAAAAAAAUUACAUGAGAUAAAAUAAAUAUUAAAUAGUAAUAUGUAUUUAAAUUAUUAUUAUUAUAUAAAAUAUUAUGAUAGCUUGUUUAGUUAAAAGCCAUGUGUUGAAGAGUGGGGUUUUGGGUUCAAGUUUUAUCUAUAAUGUUUUGAUUUGUGUUUAUUUCCUUAGUUAUGUGGAGAAUAGUAUUAAAUUUUAUAAAAUGGUAAGUAGGAUAAAGAGAUGUGACUCCUUAUAUGGUAGGAGUUUGUGGUGAUAGGAAAGUCGUAAGGGAAUGAAUCUAUACACAAAAUUAGGUUGAAACGUAAUUAGGUUAAGACAGAAACUUUGGGGAGUUGAGAUCGUUGAUUGGAUGUGUGUGUGUGUUAUACAUGAUUGUUUCAUUUUAUAUUUGUAUAAUAGUGUUGUUAAUAUAGUUGUGUGCUAAGUUAAGGGUGUUGAAUUUAAUUGUAUAUUACAUAUAGUAAUGAUGUAAAUUUAAGUUAUGUGGUUGUUUGAUAAUAUAAAAUGGAAUUGUGUUAUUAUAGAUGUAAUGCUUGCAUAUGUUAUGUGAUGAUGUGCAUAUGAAAAAUGUGUGUCCUAGCUAAAGGUGAGGAAGUUCUGAAGCUGACUUGUAUGUACUUCGUCUCUAAGGCUUGAGGAGGAGGAGAGGAAGUAGUUUUGGAUGGUAAGCUACAUGAUUAUGUUUUAUUAUAUGAAUUAAUGAAAGAUUGAAUGAGACAUGUUAUUAUUCAAUAUCUAUAAAUUUAAUUAUUAUUUUUUUAAUUUAUCUUUGCAUGUUUGUGGUUAUAGUUUUCAAUUUUGAUAAUGGUACAACCAAAUACUGACUUUUUCAUAUGGAUAUUUUCUUGAUGAAGUUGUAUCAACCAAAUACGACUUUUUCCCUUUCCCUAUUGAAAAUUAUCUUCUAACAUUUUGAACCUUUAACCAUAGAUAACUCCUACAAACAUAUUUAUAUAUACACAGUCACUAGAUUGUGUACAUUUAUAUGUGAAGGGAGAAAAUUUUGGAUCAUGCUCCUGUCUAUGAACGACUAAAAUUAAAAGCUUUUAAGGUGAAAUAUUCAUAUAAGCAAAUCAAGUGACUAAAAUCUAAACUGUGAUUUAAUUUUGAUGAUCUAUAAUAGAAUUGAUGCUUAAGUACUAUUUUGGUUUAUGCUAUUCACAUGAUACAUUUUUUUUUUAUAUAAAAAUUAAAUCUAUAAUAAAUUAAAAUUAUCACAAGUAAAGUCUUUGUGAAUAAACUUUUAAACAUAAAUUAUUACUAAUUAUUGAUAGUUUCUUAAAAUUAAAUUUAAGUAAGGAUAAAUAGAUUGAAAAGGAUAUGAGAGAUUGUUAAGAAAAAUCAAAGACACUUUUUGAAUUCAGAUUUUAGACUCUCGUUUUACUAGACUCGUCUAUUUCGAUUUUGCUCCUCAAAACUCAAAAAAAAAAAAUGAAGAUUGAAUAAGAAAUAACCUAUUUAUCAUUUAAGUAACUUUCUGUCAUCAAAGUAGAAAAGAAACUACAAAAAUGAGCUCUAUGACAUCUAAUGUAUUCACUGUCUCGAUCAAAACUUCCCUUUCACAUUAAUGCUCUACACUCACAACAUUGAUUUGAAUUUCACACACAAUAAAUCAUCAAUGGCAUAAAUAGAAAAGGAUCAAAACCUUUCAGCCAAUCUAGCAGUAACUGCUCUUAGUUUGGAAUACACUUUUCCUGCUGGUGAUCCAAGAAUCAGGCUACAAAGAGAAUCCCUGGCAAUCUUUAUGUUGGCAAAAGAUCCCAAUAUGUGAAUUUUGGUGUCAGCAAUCACGAUUCUAGUCUUUGAAGCGUUCUCAAUUGCAAACUUUGUUUUACCACCUUUACCAGACAACCUCCCAAUAGCUCGAGACAAGUGAUCCCCUCGAAGUGUUUUAACAUCCUUGAUCUCAAAGGACUCAACGUAGAGCUCAUCCAGACGCAGAAGAGCAAUGGCAUCUAUGACAUCAAAACCCAGCAUGAAAGCAUGGACAAAAUCAGCACAUUUUUGCAGGUUACUGAUAUCAGGUGUAUCAGCCCUUGUCUUCAGCUCAACUCUACGAGCCUUCAGAUUCAUUCGCACAUCAAUUUUCAUUUGUUCAUAUAUGGGAUUAUAGAUAUCCAUCCAAGCUUUCUUGAGAGGGGUAUAUCGAUGAGGUGGAACAUUAACCUUCCGGAACUGAACCUGACCAUCAGACAUCUCAUGAGGUUUCAAAGCCUCAAACUUUGGCUUUGGCGGCAAAACUUUGCCUUCUGAUGGGAUUGUUUCAACUUCCAUGGAUGAUUGUGCCUCGUUUAACUCCAUUAUGCAACACCUUUUCCAAAGGAAUCCAAAAUAAGUUAGUUUUGAAAUAUACACAACAACAAAAAAUACAUAUUAAACCACUUCUGCAGUCUACACCACACUAUGCUGAUUCCAUGAAAAAUGUACAAAAUUUCUUAAAGUGUCUUAAAUAUACGAUUGUUAACUGUGCCUCAUUUGACUCCAUCACGCAACAACAUUUCCAAAGGAAACCAAAAUAAGUUGGUUUUGAAAUACACACAACAAAAGAAAAAAAAAAAGUAGAAAUUAAACCACUUCAGCAGUCUUCGCCACAUAUGUCAACAUCAGAUAGCACAUGUUUUGUUUCCUUAUUACUAUACAUUUGUUAAUUCUUCAUUGAAGGAAAUAAAGAGUACUUGAGGUUGAUUUGUGAACCAAAUGAAAAAAAUAAAACACUUUUAAGUUAAAUUAAUAGUGAACCAAAAGACAAAUUGUGAAACACAUUAAUAGGUGAUCCAUGGUACACCCAAAGAUCCAUCUCAUCAACAAAGUUAUGUUGUGUAUCUAAAAUGUACCAAUUUGUUUUUCUUUAAUCACCACCUCCUCCCCAAUUUUCCAACUAAUUUACCAUAGACACAAACUCUACUUCACCAGUGUAGAUGAUGAAGGAAAACAAGGUACGCCCAAAAUUUUUUUAAACAAAAAGAAAAAAAAACGUAAAUCGAUUCGUUUCAAAAGAAUAAGGAAAAAAUUGUAAGCAAAAGUAUGAAUGAAGUUUCCGUAAAACUAUGAGAGUAAGUAUUAAAGAUAUAGCGAAAGAUUGAAAGAAAGAAUACCUGAAACACACAACAGUACCACACAGAUGCUGCGGCCUAACCCUAGAAUUCUCAGAAUUGAAUGUUUAAUGUUUUCAUAAGAAAAGAUCUGAAGGCAUUCUACACGGCCGGGUUUUGAAUGGUAACCCGGCCCACUUUGCAUAGGCCCAAUAAGUUUGCCAUAAACCUAAGGUUUUUAUUUCCUGUACCCAACAAUUUAUUACGACUUACCCUCAAAUUUUCAAAAUAAGUAUUUCGGAAAUGAUUUCUAAAAUGCUUUGAAAUAGUAUUUAUGAAACAAAAUUUGCGAAAUAAAACUUUUAAAAUAAAAUUUGAAAUAUAAUUUCCAAAUGUGUAAAAUGUAUUUUGGAAUAAAAUUUUCAAGAAAAUCUUGUAAUUAUGAUUUUGUGGGCCUCACUCCAUUCUAGCACACAUUAAUUUUGAUUUUGUUUUUAAGGACACAACUAAAAAAUUGUAUUUAUAUAUAUAUAUAUAUAUAUAUAUAUGUGUGUGUGUGUGUAUGUAUGUAUAAUGAUCAUAUAAUUACUUAAAAUGUAGAUUAAAAAAAUUAUUAUUAUUUCAUAUACAUUCUGAGUGAGUAAUUACUAAUUAUGCACAUGGAAAGACAUGGAAAAAUUAAUUUUAGAGUAUAAUUUGAAUAAAAUUUUAUAAUAUUAGUCUAAAUAAAUUUGAUUUUUCAAAAAAAAAGUACAUUCAGAUAAAUUACAUCAUAAAUUAUAAGUGUUAAUUCAAUUUUAUAAACUAAAAAAAAGUAUAUUUAAUUAUAUUUUAAAUCAUUUUUAAUUAAUUAUUUUUUAUAGUAAUUACAUUUUAAUUACUUGAUCUUAAAAAAAUAUUUAAAUAAAAUUUAUUAAGGAUAACUAACGAACUCCAUAUAAAUAAAGGAAAUGCUCAUUAUGUGUGCGUUCUUGUCUUUCAUAAAAUGAAACUUUCAGUUAUAUUAGGCAUGGUCCAAUACUUAGCACUUAAAAUGGAACAGUCCAAUUGCAUGUAGUGGCUCGUGAAGGAGAUAACUCUAGAAGAAGCUUGUUUCCGUGGCAUAACCCAAAACACGAAAAGAAAUAGGAGAGAGGACAAAGCGAAAGGAGUGCGAGAGGCGAUGGAGAGAGAAGCAAACGGAGGGCUGCCGAAGGUGCUCAGGCACGGUGGUUGUCGGUGUCGUAGAAGACAAAAGUGUAGAUCGCAACAAGAGAGGUAAGAAAAUCGUGCCCUUUUCUUAUUUCAGUAAACAUGAAUUGAAACUCAGUGUUUUUGUACAUCAAAGGGAAAAAGGGGAAAGGAACUCUAUAUAUAGAGUUCCAUGGGGAAAACAAAAACCAGAAAAUAAACAGAACAACUGUCUUAGGACAGUUAGGAGAACUAUAAGGUUCUCAAUAUCCUCCCCUCAAGCUGGACGGUGUAUACUAACCAGUUCAAGCUUGGGUACAAUAGCUCCAAAUCUGACGCGAUGCGGGAAUUUGGUGAAGAUAUCGGCCAGUUGUUCAUCGGAUCAGACGGGAAGAAGAUGCAGAAGACGCUCUUGUAUCUUUUCACGAACAACGUGACAGUCAAGCUCUAUAUGCUUGGUCCGUUCGUGAAAGCUCUGAUUAUGAGCUAUGUGGCGCGCGAAUUUGUUGUCACGGUAUAGAACAGGUACUCCAGAUUCUUCGGUUUGAAGGUCUUGUAGGAGAUAGUGGAGCCACUGUAUUUCACAAAGUGGCUGCAAGUGCCCUGUAUUUAGCUUCAGUGGAGGAUCUGGAGACAGUCCUCUACUUUUUAGAUUUCCAGGAAAUGAGAGAUGGCCCAAGAAAAAUACAGAACCCCGUAGUGGAUCUCCUUGUGUUGGGACAUGUUGCCUAAUCAGAGUCGCUAAAGGCUUUUAAGUGCUUAGGAGAGUCAGCUGCAAAAAAUAACCCUUCAGAUGGUGAAGAUUUAAUAUAUCUGAGAGAAUGUUGAAUAGCCUGAUAAUGAAAAUAGGUGGGUGAUUGCAUAAAUUGAAUAAGAAGAUUAAUAGUAAAGCAUAAGUCGGGUCUGGUAUUAGUAAGAUAUAAUAACUUCCCUAUCAAUCUUCUAUAGGGUUCAGGAUCAUCCAAAUAGUUGUCUUCUUUGUACAGUGAGCUUGUGUCUUUUAGGAAAGGGGUAAAAGAAGGCUUGCAACCCUGCAUUCUGGUUUCCUUAAGUAUGUCCAAGGCAUACUUCCUCUGACAUAAGUGAAUUCCCUUCUUGGAUCUAGGUACUUCAAGUCCAAGGAAAUAUUUUAGCUCUCCAAGGUUCUUAAUUCUAAACUUUUUGUGUAAAAGUUCCUUUAUGCUGUUAAUUUCCUCCAUAGAAUAUCCUGCCAACACAAUGUCAUCCACAUAUACAAGUAAAGCAGUAAAACUUGUAGUAGUUCUUUUAGUAAAUAGUGAGUGGUCGAAUUUAGAUUGAUUGUAAUUGGCAGAAAUUAGAUAUGAAGAUAAUUUUUCAAACCAUUGCCUACUGGCUUACUUUAAACCAUAUAAAGAUUUAGUCAACUUGCAAACUGUCCUCCUUUGUGGGUAUUCAGACCUGGGGGUAAUUGCAUAUAGACCUCUUCAUUUAAGUCACCAAGUAGAAAGGCAUUGUCAACAUCAAGUUGAUGUAGGAACCAAUUAUUUGAGGUUGCAAGGGCAAUGAGAAGCCUAACAGUGGUAAGUUUGGCCAUAGGGGAGAAGGUGUCCAGGUAGUUUAUUCCUUCCUUUUGAGUAUAUCCCUUUGCUACCAAUCUGGCUUUGUGCCUUUCAAUGCUGCCAUAUGCUUUAUACUUGGUUUUAUAAACCCAUUUACACCCUAUGGGUGUUUUUCCUGGUGGCAGCUCAGUUAGGAUCCAAGUAUUGUUGUCUUGUAAAGCUUUAAUCUCUUUUUGCAUAGCUUCCACCCAUUCACUCUUGACCUUAGCUUCAUUAUAAGUCUGCAGUUCCUUAUUGUUUGUGAUUGCCAUGGUGUAUUUUGAGUGUUUUUCUGACAAAUUAUCACAACAUAACAAAUUAGAAAUCGGGUAAGGAGUUUUAAAACCAUUUUUCACAGAUAAAGAUUGAUUGACCUGAUGGACAUAAUCUCUUAGGUAUUCUGGGGUCUUUCUGAGUUUGUCAGAUCUCUUAUUUUCAUGAUUUUCCUGAUUAUCAGUAGCGUUGUUGCUGUUGUUUUUAUCAACAAAGAUCUGUUGUUGUUCUUCCUGAUUAAAAACAUUUAAGUCUUUGUGUCUGUCUUCAACAAAAGGGUAAUAAUCCCUCAAAAGAUCAUUGAGAGAGUCAGCUUUCUCUUCUUCUGUGAUAGUGUCCUGUCUGUUUCCUUGCACAUCAUUGUAAGGAAAGAUGUUUUCAUGAAAUAUAACAUUUCUGCUUAUGAAAAGUUCUUUGGUGUUUAUAUCUAACACAAUGUAUCCUUUAACACCACCUUUAAAUCCCAGAAAAAUACCUUUUCUAGCUCUAGGAUCAAGUUUAUUUCUGUUGUUCUCUAGAGUAGAAGCAAAACAUAAACAUCCAAAAGCCUUGAGAUCUACGUAAGUUGGUGGUUCAUUAUAAAGCAUGUCAUAAGGAGUUCUAUUAUCAAGAAUGGGUGAGGGCAUUAUGUUUAUCAAAUAGACAACAUGCCCAACAACAUAUGACCAAUAAGCAUUAGGUAUAUUAGAUUGGAAAAGGAGACUACGAGUAACAUUAAGUAUGUGUUGAUGUUUCCUUUCAACAACUGAGUUUUGUUCAGGAGUCUCAACACAACUUUUCUGAUGAUUAAUUCCAUGCAAGUCAUAAAAGUUUUCACAUUUAAAUUCGGGUCCAUUGUCGGAUCAAAUAUUUUUAACCAUUUUGUUGAACUGAUUCUUGACUUUAAUGAUAAAAUUCUGCAAUAAGUCUCUUGUCUGUCCCUUAUUGUUCAUUAGAAAAAUCCAUGUAUGNCUACUAUAGUCAUCUACUAUGGUGAGGAAAUAUCUAUGGCCAUGAACAGAAAUCGUGUUUAGGGGGCCCCAUACAUCAUAGUGAAUAAUCUCAAAGCAUUCAGUAGUAGCAGAAAUACUUUUUGAAAAAGAUAACUUAUGUUGCUUAGCAUAAUGACAAGUGUCACAAACAAAAUUAGUAUUUAUCUUAACAUAAGGAAACUUUUCACAUGUAUGUCUUACAACUCUAUGUCCUGGAUGGCCAAGUCUAAGAUGCCACAGGUUUACAUCAACAUUCUUAAAAGAAAAAACAGUUUUUGAAGUGUAACUUUGAUCCUGUUUAGGAAAAACUUGUAGGUAAUAGAGCUCAUUCCAAGAGUUAGCAUAUCCAAUCAUCUUCAAGGUACAAUUAUCCCUUAUUUGGCAAUGCUUAGAUGAGAAAGUUAGACUGCAAUUCAUAUCUUUGAUAAGACUUUGUACAGAUAUCAAAUUAAAACAAAAAUUUGGUAUAUAAAGAACAUUGAAAAUGAUAAAAUCUUUGGUAAACUGAACUGUUCCAGCAUGGUCAGCAGUGAGUAUAGUGUUAUUAGGUAAUUUGAUAGAAAUCGAUUUAAUUUUGUAGAAGGUAACAAAGUUAGUUUUGUAGAAGGUAACAAAGGUAGCAUGUUCAACACUCCUACCUUGAUUUCUCCAAUUCUGAUCAGGUUUUCAUUGGCUAUUUCUUUCAGCAAAGUUUGCUAGAAUCUUGGUCUCUGUAGGAGUUUGUUUCUCUUGUCUUUCUUAUUGGAUGAUAAGUGAGAAAACCCAGUUGAUAUUGGGGAGGGGAUCCAUUAACAAAAUCUGUGUCCUAACAGUAGUGUAAGAGUCGUUUAAUCCCUUCAGAAAGCAUAUUACAUGCUUGACUUCCCUAUAUUUGAAGGAAACUUUAAAUAAAUCACAGCUGCAAGGAGUUGCACAUGUGCAGGUAGGUAUAGGCCUCAAAGACUCCAGUUCUUCCCAAAGGAUUUUCAGAUCUGUAAAAAAUUGACUCACCCCUCUUUCACCUUGUCUGAUUGAAUGUAUAUCUUGUAACAAGUCAGAGAUCUUAAAGUAAUCUCCCUUGGAAAAUCUUUCCUUGAGCUCAUCCUAUAAUUCUUUUGCCUCUUCGACAUAAAUCACACUUUCAACAAUGUGUGGAGACAAUGUCUUCGUGAUCCAUGAAGAAAUCAUCAUGUUGCAUCUUUCCCAGGCAUCAUAAGCAGCAUCAGUUUUCUGGGGUCUUUUUAUGGUUCCAUCAAUGAAUUUUACCUUAUUCUUGGAAAGCAGAGCUCUCCUCAUGCUUCUGCUCCAAGAUGCAUAAAUAUUCUCGUUCAGAACUUGAGUAAUGAGUGUGAGGCCUGGGUUUUCACCUAAGUGUAGAUAGUAAGGACUUGCUGGGUUGGAUGCCUGAUCUCCUUGAUCCAUGGCAAACGAAAGAAAGCAAGAAAGAAGCCCAAGAAGAUAUCAAGAACACCGGAAGAGCAACGGAAGCAGAAUAGGCACUAGACCUGCUCUGAUACUAUAUUAAGCAUGGCCCAAUACUGUGCACUUAAAAUGGAACGACCCAAUUGCAUGUAGUGGCCCGUGAAGGAGAUAACUCUGGAAGAAGCUUGCUUCCAUGGCAUAACCCAAAACGCGAAAAGAAAUAGGAGAGAGGAUAGAGCGAAAGGAGCGCGAGAGGCGAUGGAGAGAGAAGCAGACGGAGGGCUGCCGGAGGUGCUCAGGCACAGUGGUUGCCGGUGCCGUAGAAGACAAAAGUAUAGAUCGCAACAAGAGAGGUAAGAAAGUCGUGCCCUUUUCUUAUUUCAGUAAACAUGAAUUGAAACUCGUUGUUUUUGUACAUCAAAGGGAAAAGGGGAAAGGAACUCUAUAUAUAGAGUUCCAUGGGGAAAACAAAAACUGGAAAAUAAACAGAACAACUGUCUUAGGACAGUUAGGAGAACUGUAAGGUUCUCAAUAAAUUACAACCACUUUUAUUUUAAAAAAAAAAAACAACACAAAACCAAAGAUUUAUUUUUUAAUCCUAUAUAAGAGAAGCAAGCAGCAUAAUCCAAAGAUUUUUAAUGGAGUUGAUUUGUAUACUAUAAUUGAGGCUCAAAGAUUGCUUUUCUCAAGAGCAAAUAAAAAACUAAUUUGUUCUUAUGUUCUGAACGAUUUACAAUAAACAAUUAAUGUAAGAGAAACCAAUCCUUCAAUUAGGAAAUUUGUAAUUUUACAUACUUCAUUUACAAGUGGUAUAAGGUACAUGUUCAACAAUUACGAAGAUGCUAUGGUUAUUUAUAUGAUAUUUAAUUAUCUAGAUUUGUUUGUAACUAUUACAUGUAAUGUUAAUUGGUGUAAAAUUUAUGACUUUGUUAUAUCAAAAGAAUUAAUAACUUUAGAUAGGUUGGGUAUUUUUUGUAAAGUAUAUAAAAUGAAGUUAGAUCAAAUGAUGACAAAUUUCAUGAAGAAUAAUUUUUUUUGUUAUAUAUGAAUCAUUUUUAAUUACUAAGGAUGUAAAUUAUUCCAUCUCAUUAUUUUUUCGUGAUAUUAGAGAUGUAUUCUAUGGAAUUCCAAAAAAAUGACUCUCACAUGCUCAUAUAUUACUAUGUUUGGCUAGUGAAAACAACUUACAAAAUGCAAAGGACAUUGAUGAAGUUAUCUUUGCUAAACUACUUCAUCCAUAUUUGUAUCCAAAACUUCAAAGGAUGUUGCAACAUAUAUGGUCCAUAUAGAGCUAUUAUACAACUCACCAUGCAUAAAAGAAGCAAGGUGUUCCAAAUUUCAUCUUAAAAAAAGAUAGAAUAUGUGCCUUAUAGUCCUCUUCUUUUAAUGAGAUAUCAAACCCAUGUUAAUAUAAAAUAUUGCAACAAGUCUAACUUAAUCAAGAAUUUGGUUAGAUAUGUGAAUAAAGGUUUUGAAAGAGCAAUAAUGAAAAUUACUAAUAAUCAAGGUAACUUUACAAAAACACCUAUUGUCGAUAAAAUAAAUAGACACUUUUAUUGUAGAUGUUUAAUACUAUAUGAGGUUGUUUGACAAAUUUUUGGUUUUGAUGUUCACACAUAUGACUAGGUGUUCAAAGAUCAAUAUUUCAUCUCCUACAUCAACAAUUAGUAUUGUUUAAAAGUGAUGAACUUGAUGUCAUAUGAAACAAGAACUAACAUGCGAAUACAAUGUUUUUAACUUGGUUUGAGACUAAUAAAAUUGACAAUGAAGGGAAGAACUUGACCUAUGAUAAAUUUUCAAGCAAGUUCGUUUAAAUGGCUCAACAAAAGGAAUGAAAAAUAAAUAAAUUAAAGUUAUAAUAUUGGUAGUCUUUAGACCUGUCAAACAAGCCCAUAAAAUGGGAUUUGGCCCUAGCCCAUGUGGGUUGGGGCCAAAAAAGCCCUUUAUUAAAAAAGCCCCUUGGACUAAAAAGCUCUAAAGCCCCAUGGGUCAGGGCCAACCCAUGGGUUUUCUUUUUUACAGAGAAAACUAAAUACCUAACAAUAAAUUGCAUUUUUGUAGAGAAAAGGAACACUUGUGUUAAGUGUUAUAACUUGGAAAAAUUAAAUAAGAAAACUAGUCAGGAUAUAACAUGAAUAGGAAAAACAGCGAAACGAUAUAACACCUAAAACCAAAAAUAGGUUCAUCAAUUCAAACAUCAAAAAAGAAAAAACUUGAAAAGUAACCUCAAUAAGCAUUCAUAAUUUAGUCAAACAAAUUGAAACACAUGUCAUUAUCAAAUUCUUCUGUUGGCUCGUCCUUCUUUUCCUCUUCCUUUGCUGCAGCAACUAGAGCACCAAAAUCAGCAUCAAGAGUAGCAACAGCAGUUGGAGCACCAGAAUCAACAGUAGGAGCAGCAAAACCAGCUGGAGCACCAGAAUCAACAACAGGAGAAGCAACAACAGCCACUGCAAAUUUGCUUGGGUCCUGCAUUUACAAUGAAGUAUCUUUUAGUCACAGCCUCAAGACUUUCAACCUUAAACUGCAAAAACAACUUGCAACUUGCAAAGGAAAACCACAAUUUGAAGGUAAAGAUUUGCACUACCUAUCCCCACCAAAACCAAAUCCCAAGAACAAGAAAUCUAGACAGUGGGAAAACCCCUACUCAAACCGAAAGCAGAUUCAGAAACACCUCCCUCAAAGAAAGAGAUAAGAUGCCCAAAUGAAGAUACUUAUAUCCCAUAUCCCCAAACACCAAAGUAUGUAGAACAUGGACCAUAUGGCAACAACUUGCAAAAGAAAAGGAAACCUGGUCUCCAACCAAAAGAAUUAACUAGCUAUAAUUCCAAUGAGUACUCCAGCUUCUUCCAAUGCUGAUCAAGUCCUAUAAGAUCACAUUGUUAUGUUCCAUCACCGAGAUAAAUGUACUUCUUCUCUGAUGUAGCAUCAACCGAAUUUUGGAUCCUUUCCAUCACCAAUCCCUGUAUAACAUUAUUAAAAAGUGUCGACCAAUAAUGGUUUCAAAAGUUGAACCUUUGCAAGUAAUAUUAAAAAAAGUUAUGUGCUUAAUAAAAGUGAUAUAUAAUGUGAGAAAUAAAGAAAGAGUUGGAGUUAAUGCAGUUGCCUUGCACAUGUUUGGUGGACAAAGAUUACAUCCAUGAGAAGAUUUGACAUAAUCAUGGUACGAGCAAACUCUGAGAAUCCCUUCUUCAUUAACAUAGCUAGGGUUUGCAGUGAUCUCCGAGAAACAAUUCCAAACCCCAUGAUGCUUCAAAAUUGUUUCAAUAAAGAAACUAUUUGCAUCACUCACCAUCUUCAACUCGCACCUGAACAUAACAAUGUGAUCUUAGGUUCUAUAAAAUCAACAUGAUGGUAAAUGGCAUUUUGCCAAUAACUUGGAGUACUAUAAGCAUGUAAUCAGAUUCAAUUAGCAGAAACCAUGUUAUAAUGAUGCAGCUAAUGAUGCAGCUAAUGAUGCAGCCAAUGUCACACAAAAUGUUACAAUGACUACUCUCAUUAGUUGUUAUAAGACUUAUGGGUGUGUAGUAAUCAUAAUGGAAGAGACUACUUGCACUGACCAGGCUGAAAAUUGGUUCACAAGGACUGAUGAUUCUACUUUGACUAUUCAUUUUGGAGAGGUUCUGAUUGCCAUUUUCAAAUCUGUUACAAACAAAAGAGUAUUUUUAAAAUUUUGGAGAGGUACCAGAGUCAAAUAUUGCAUGAAACUCAACAUCAACAACAAGAUCUUCCACAAAAAUUUGGGUUAUGCUGAUGUUAUAAGUUGGACUGCAGGGAUUAAUUAAGCACCAGUACAAUUAGACACAAGAAUUUUUACCAAAAAUAAUUCUUGUGUUAGCAGCAUCUGUUAUAUCAUCAUAUGUGAUUAAGUUCAACACGUUACAUCUGACAUUACAAAUCAUAUUGAAUUUUAAAGGACUAUCAUUCUACAAAAAUUAUAGACAAUAAUUAAAAAAAUUAAUAAUUAGAAAGUAAAUUAAAGCUAUGAUGUCACCGAGUCUACUUGUGAUCACUUUCACUACCCACAAUGUUGAAGACUUUCAACAUCUUCUAAAUGUUUAGACUCAUCAAUAUCCACAUGACCAAAAAUAUCUUCAACAAUUUCAUUUAUCAUAAGCAAUUGAAAUACAAUCAAACCACUAGUUUAGAAUUAAUAAUUUAAUGUAAAGUACGUAUUUUUAAAAAUAAUAACAUAUACACUUACCACUAGGAUUUUCAGAAAAUCCAUAUAACCAAUUUUGAGUACAAAUCAACAUUUGCACAUGCUCAGGAAGAAUGGAACUUCUAUAUUUUGAAAGUACAUGCCCACCUUUACUAAAAGUUGACUCUGAUGCCAUUGUAGUAAUGGAAAUACUAAGCACAUCUCAAGCCAUUAUAGAUAAUAUUACAAAGUUUUUCUCAUUAGUCUUCCAAUAUUUGAGCACAUCAAAAUCUUCACUGUCUUCAUUAGCAUAUAUUGCUGGUUCAUCUAAAUAAACAUCUAUUUCGUUCUUUCCAAUGAUAGAUUUUGAUUCGUUCUGACACAUUUUAAAAUCCUACAAUGCAUUACAUAUUAAUUAUCAAAACAAAACUGGAAACACUGAAAAAAAAAAUGAACACUAUAUAUAAAAUGCUUACCAAAAUAAUCCUUGAUCUCUUAAACUUUUUCCCUUCAGUAUUGGGCUGAGACAUCAAGAUGGAUUCAGUAGGUGAUUAGGAAAGAGGAAUACUACAGGUAGAAAAGUUCUUUACAUAUCCUUUAAAUAACCUCUUGAACUUCUCUAACACUUUCUUUGUUUUCUCUACACAGGUUAAAGGAUCCAACUUUUUAUAACAAUAUGUUAUAAAAUCAACCUUUAGUCGUGGAUAAAGAAUAGCUCCAAAAGCUAACCCAAUACUAUACUCCUUCCAAUACUUUUGAAACUUUUCUUUCAUAUUACAAGCCAUGUCAAGGUGACAUCUUCAUUCAACAAAUUUUCUUCAAUGAUAAGCUGAAUUUUCCAACUUUGCAUAAAAUACAAGUUUGAAGUGGGAUAAGAUGAACCAGACAUCAUCUUUGUAAUCUCAUAAAAUGGUUCUAAAAAUUGACAUAUUUUCUCUCCCUUAUUCCAUUCCUCAGAAGAUAUUUUCUUCAAUGAUGAGCUGAAUUUUCCAAAUUUGCAUAAAAUACAAGUUUGAAGUGGGAUAAGAUGAACUAGACAUCAUGUUUGUAAUCUCAUAAAAUGGUUCUAAGAGUUGACAUAUUUUCUCUCCCUUAUUCCACUCCUUAGAAGAUGGACAAUUUUUAUAAUUUCUAUCAACCACUUUGAGCAUUAGAAAAGCUUCCUUAUAUUUGAUUGCACUUUCAAGCAUUAAAUAGGUUGAAUUCCAUCUUGUAAUCACAUCUAAUCUCAAACCCAUGCUCAUAUUUAUACUGACAUCACUAACACAUUCUUUGAAUUUGAGAGUUCUUCCAUAUGAUGAUUUAACAUACUUAAUACUCUCUCUAAUACUAUGGAGUGCUUUGUCAAUCAUCUUUAAACCAUCUCGAACUAUCAAAUUAAGAGUAUGAGCACAACAUCGUUCAUGGAAAAAAUCACCAUCACAUAAUAAUUUUUUAUGAACACAAAGAUGACUUUUCAGAAUGUCUUGCAAAAUAUUAUUGGCAGAAACAUUGUCUAGGGUAAUUGAGAAAUUUUUCUUAUCAAUACCCCAUUACUUUAGGCAAUCAAACACAACACUUUCUAGUUCAACACCUGUAUGUGGUGGUUUCAUUCGACAGAUGUUAAGAAUCUUACUUGUCAGAUUUGAGAUUUCCUUUUUAUUGGUGGUAGCACUCUCAGAUGGACCAGGAGUUUCAGAUGAAGAUCAUCAACCAAAAUCAAAGGGUUACUCUUAUGGUGGUCCAUAUUUAAAAGCUAUUGCACACAGCUGCAUAGAUAAAUGAACAAUAUUUUUAGUAGGUGUUCAAUAAAGAUAUUUUUGGGUCAAGAAAACUGCUUUUGAAAAGAGAAAGACGAGACCCAUAAAACAUGGUUCUGCUCUUAUUUCAGCAGCUAUUGGAGGUGUGUAUAUAUUCUACUUAUUUCUUGAUCUACUGGUAACUACUUUAAAUAUAUUCUGAUUAUACAUUUCACACUAUUUCUCGUGUUUUUAGAAUAUAAAGUAAUAUUUUUAAGAGACUUAAAUGGUUAAUUAUACUAAAAAAAUGUUAAAUUUUAAUUAUUUGAAAGGUUAGUUUUUAUCUAACCAAGAAAAGUUUUGGAUGAUGAUGCAAUAAAUUAAUAAUAAAAAAGCAUACAUAAAAGUUGUGGACAAAAAUUACUCUGUGAAAGGAAAAUGAAACUGUGAAAACAAAAGAGACUUGUUUAAUGUGGAAUGUUGACAAUUUUAUUUGGUUUGAUCUUGAUAAGAUACACCAAACUUUCAUAAAAGAUAAUCAUUUCUUUAAUAAGGACCUUAUCUUAUGGAUGAGACUGACACGUUUGCCUACAUGUGAUAUUAUCACAAACCAUCACAUGCAUGUAACCAAAAUAGUAUCUUCAAAGAAAAUCAUUACUAAAAAGCAAAAUACUAAAGCUACUAUUUACAAUAUUUAUUUAUAGUAUAUUUUUAUUUAAUAAAAAUUAAAUUACUAUACUAUAAUUGUGCAUAAAUAAAUACAUUUAUUGCCUAAGAUUCCUACAAAUAA
rnacentral:lncRNA from 1 species